rnacentral:rRNA from 1 species
UACGUAGAUGACGAGCGUUGUCCGGAUUUACUGGGCGUAAAGCGCGCGCAGGCGGUCGUGCAAGUCGAGUGUGAAAGCCCCCGGCUCAACUGGGGAGGGUCGCUCGAUACUGUUCGACUUGAAGGCGGGAGAGGGAAGCAGAAUUCCCGGUGUAGUGGUGAAAUGCGUAGAUAUCGGGAGGAAUACCAGUGGCGAAGGCGACUUCCUGGCCCGUUCUUGACGCUGAGGCGCGAAAGCUAGGGGAGCAAACGGG